CUUUUUUAUUGGUAUACCCACCUCCACCCCUUUUUACCAUAAGAUUCUAAGCAGAUAAACUAUUUCAUUGCUAGUACACUAUUUACCUUGCCUCCCCAGCUCCCCCCUUCCUCCUUCCAGGUCCUUGCACAGCCCCCCCUACUGAUGAGCAAAGCUUCUCCCUCCAAUACUGCAGAGCCUUCAGACAUUAGCCAAUCCAAAGACAGGCAGUGGGCUGGUUUUAAUAUGUCACUGUCCCAGGCAAAAAAAAAAACCUCCUGCAUCUUUUAGUGUGUAGGGCAGGGAUCUGGGAGACAUAACUGCCUUAUAGCAACUGACUUGUCUGCUGAUUGAGUGCUGCAGCCCUUGAACGGGAACCUUGCAAUUCUGUUUUUGUUUCUUUGCACUUGAGAACAUUUGCUUAUUGGGUUUGACUGGUCAAUAUUCAGGAUGAUAGCUGCCCAGCUCCUGGCCUAUUACUUCACCGAAUUGAAAGAUGAUCAGGUCAAAAAG